UACGGAGGGUGCAAGCGUUAUCCGGAUUCACUGGGUUUAAAGGGUGCGUAGGCGGGCAGGUAAGUCCGUGGUGAAAUCUCUGAGCUUAACUCAGAAACUGCCAUGGAUACUAUUUGUCUUGAAUGUUGUGGAGGUAAGCGGAAUAUGUCAUGUAGCGGUGAAAUGCUUAGAUAUGACAUAGAACACCAAUUGCGAAGGCAGCUUACUACACAAAUAUUGACGCUGAGGCACGAAAGCGUGGGGAUCAAACGGG
rnacentral:rRNA from 1 species